rnacentral:rRNA from 1 species
UUUAAAACAACAUUUCUACUAAUUGAGGACGAAGGAAGUCUUUGAAAUAGUUUUCAAAUUCCUCUUCACCGAAGUUCUGGUACCAACAGCAACCAAACUCCGAAUACCGGUGACGCGUAUCCCGGCAGUGAGUCGGCGGGGGAUAAGCUUCGUCGUCGAAAGGGAAACAGCCCAGACCGUCGUCUAAGGUCCCGAAGCGUGUGCUAAGUGGGAAAGGAUGUGGAGUCGCAUAGACAGCCAGGAGGUUGGCUCAGAAGCAGCCACCCUUGAAAGAGUGCGUAACAGCUCACUGGUCUAGUGGUUCCGCGCCGACAAUGUAGCGGGGCUCAAGCACACCACCGAAGACGCGGCAGUAUUUUGUACUGGGUAGGAGAGCGUCCCAUGAGGGGCGAAGCGGCCGUGUGUACGCGCCGUGGACUUCAUGGGAGUGAGAAUGCAGACAUGAGUAGCGAGAGACGGGUGAAGAUCCCGUCCGCUGGAUGACCAAGGGUUCCAGGGCCACGUUCAUCGUCCCUGGGUGAGUCGGGUCCUAAGGCGAGGCCGACAGGCGUAGUCGAAUGGAUGAACGGGUCGAUAUUCCCGUACCGGCUUUCAGCCGCCAAAACCGAGGCUUGGAGUACUAACCUCCGGGUCCGGGCUUACUGCUCCUUCGGGGGCGGGAUGCCCUGGCCUGUUGGGACCGAUCCUUGUAGUAGGUCAGCGCAGGAGUGACGCAGAAGGGUAGCCGGCCGCGGAGGUGGUCUUCCGUGGUCAAGCACGCAGGGCGUGGGACAGGCAAAUCUGUCUCGCAUGGGUCCGAGGUGCGAUGAUGGGGGCCUUAUGGCCCGAUAUCCGGUGAUCCCGGCUGCCGAGAAAAGCUUCGGCGUCAGGCUCAAAGCCGCCCGUACCCCAAACCGACACUGGUGGUCAGGUAGAGAAUACCAAAGCGAUCGAGCGAAUCCUGGUCAAGGAACUCGGCAAAUCACUCCCGUUCCUUCGGUUUAAGGGAGACCCCCGAUGGUGAACACACUUGCUGUGGGAGCUUUUGGGGGUGGCACAGACCAGGGGGUAGCGACUGUUUACCAAAAACACAGGUGCAUGCGAAGGCGCAAGCCGCUGUAUAUGCACUGACGCCUGCCCGGUGCCGGAAGGUUAAGAGGAUCCGUCAGCCUUCGGGUGAAGCGGUGAAUUCAAGCCCCGGUAAACGGCGGUGGUAACUAUAACCAUCCUAAGGUAGCGAAAUUCCUUGUCGGGUAAGUUCCGACCUGCACGAAUGGCGUAACGACUUCCCCACUGUCUCGACCAGGAGCUCGGCGAAAUUGCAGUACGAGUAAAGAUGCUCGUUAAGCGCAGAAGGACGAAAAGACCCCGGGACCUUUACUAUACCUUGGUAUUGGCAUUCGGUGUGGAUUGUGUAGCAUAGGCGGGAGGCCGAGAGGCGCGGUCGCCAGUGCCUGGCGGGUAGUUUAACUGGGGCGGUUGCCUCCCAAAGAGUAACGGAGGCGCCCAAAGGUCCGCUCAGCCCGGUUGGCAAUCGGGUGGCGAGUGCAAGUGCACAAGCGGGCUUGACUGCGAGGACGACGGUCCGAGCAGGGACGAAAGUCGGGACUAGUGAUCCGGUGCCGGUGUACGGACGCGGCAUCGCUCAACGGAUAAAAGGUACCCCGGGGAUAACAGGCUGAUCGCUCCCA